UCCUAGAGCAGUUCAGUCCAAUUGUCUUUUAACCAAUUGGUCGUAGGUUCGAAUCCCACACGACCCA
rnacentral:tRNA from 1 species